rnacentral:rRNA from 1 species
CCUGAUGCAGCAACGCCGCGUGAGGGACGACGGCCUUCGGGUUGUAAACCUCUUUUAGCAAGGAAGAAGCGAAAGUGACGGUACUUGCAGAAAAAGCGCCGGCUAACUACGUGCCAGCAGCCGCGGUAAUACGUAGGGCGCAAGCGUUAUCCGGAAUUAUUGGGCGUAAAGAGCUCGUAGGCGGUUUGUCGCGUCUGCUGUGAAAUCCCGAGGCUCAACCUCGGGCCUGCAGUGGGUACGGGCAGACUAGAGUGCGGUAGGGGAGAUUGGAAUUCCUGGUGUAGCGGUGGAAUGCGCAGAUAUCAGGAGGAACACCGAUGGCGAAGGCAGAUCUCUGGGCCGUAACUGACGCUGAGGAGCGAAAGGGUGGGGAGCAAACAGGCUUAGAUACCCUGGUAGUCCACCCCGUAAACGUUGGGAACUAGUUGUGGGGACCAUUCCACGGUCUCCGUGACGCAGCUAACGCAUUAAGUUCCCCGCCUGGGGAGUACGGCCGCAAGGCUAAAACUCAAAGGAAUUGACGGGGACCCGCACAAGCGGCGGAGCAUGCGGAUUAAUUCGAUGCAACGCGAAGAACCUUACCAAGGCUUGACAUAUACGAGAACGCCGUAGAAAUACGGAACUCUUUGGACACUC